AAAAGAAGAUACUGAGAGGGGAAUGCAAUUGGGUUUUGUGGGGUGAUAGAGGUUGGGCUUUUUAUAGUGGAAGUAGUGAGUGGGUAAGUAGAAAUGGUAAAUAUUCUACUCUAGCAGUCAAGCACAAAAGCAAGGAGAAGAAGAGGAUGCAGAGACCAAGGACAACGAUGAUGUUUCGUUUCAGUUGAUUACAGAGGAUCGCAUGAGCCUUCAGAAAGACCUCGUAAAACAUCAAAAUACAUUACAAAAGUAUGAGCAUCCCAGAAUCUUGGGCACCCCGAGCUUUACAAAUCAGGUUGCAUUGGUGAAGAAAAGAGGAAGAAGUCCAAAGGCCCAGAUCUGUGGCACCACUUUAAAACGACCCCGUUUGAAGCUGAAAACCAGAAACAGAGCAAGAGACGGCAUCCCUCCGGAGGCAGGAGCGAGCACGCUGAAAACCAAGAAAAAGAAGAGGAAGAGACGCGCGCGGGAUCGGGUUCGUGAUUGAUGGAAGGAGAAGAAGAUAAGGAAGAAGAGGCGUUCUAAAUUUAUCAGAUUUGCUAUCUGCGGGGAAUCUUCAGAAGACAUUCUAUCUCCUUCUGCCACUAGAAGGGUGAACCCCAAGGCCAAGAGUAUCGGGAAGAAGCGUGGUGGAGUGAGCGGCUGAGAAGAGAAAGACGGCUGACCCGCAGCCAAAAUCACAGGAAAUUUUAAAAAUUUGUUACUAUCUUGUAGGGGAUGAACACCCCACUUUAAAUACACUUGUUUAGCCUUGGAUUAGCACGAAUGGUUGGGCCGGAAUUUUUAGGAUUUUCUGGGGAAGCUCCGUCGGCUAGGAUUUGGAGUUUUCUAGAGAUGGUUUUUAUUAUUUCCUGAUAAUUAUCUUCUCUACUAAAUUUGCAGUUGCUCAAUCCACCAUGUGCAGAUGAACUGAGUGAAUCAAAGGUACGUUUAAUGUUUAUUUUUAUUUUUUAUUUUUUUUGCUUUUUUGUUGCAGUUUAUCAAUAGUAACCUAAAUCAGUUGUGAGAAUUGGUCUAACCCUGUAACUUUUUUAUCUGUGAUUAAUAAUUUUAGAGUAAUUAGAAUAAAAUCUCGUUAAUUAUAUCUUUAUUGUUAAGCAUUAAUCGAGAUUAUAGCAGAAGUAAUAUAGUGAAUUUAAAGUGUAUUAAUUAAGUAUCAAAUAUUGAAUUGAAUCAAAUUAACAAUUGUUAUAAAAUGAUAGUAAUUGUCAAUUGAUAUACUUAAAGAAAUACUGGAGGAAAGUCCGAACGUUUCAUCAACCACUGCAACCAGAUUAAAUUGAUUGCGGAAUCAAGACUCAAAACAUAUUAAAGAUUCAGAUGAAAUCAAUUAUUAUAGUGAAUUAUUCUAAUAAAUUUCUUCAAUUUAUUUCCUUCUGUUUUGAUUUUAGUAAGUUUUUUAAAUAUUUUUGUUUACGAUUUUAGUCUUAUCAUUUUAUUAAUUGAAUGACUUCUUAUAUUUGCGAAUUCAAUUAUCACUAACCAUUAGAAUUUUUAAUAUUAAUUUUUUCAUGAUUGACAUAGAUAUUAUAUAAAAAUAAAGACUCUAUACUUUUUAAUCAACGUUCUUGGUGUAUUAUAAAUUGUCAAUGACUCUUGAACUAAGUCCAGUUGAGCUUAACUAAUGAGUCUUCCAACAUGGAUGCCACCAUUUAUGACUUCAUUUUAAAGGGAAAAAAAAUUAGAAAAUAAGAAUUUUUUUAAUUAAUUGUAAUUAGCUAUUAGAAUUAUGAUUUACCAUAUUGGAUAGGAGUGCAUGCAUAAGUGGUUCUGUCAGUCAAAACUAAUGAUUCUUAGUUGACCUUUUUUUAUUCUGAAAUGAUAUUAUUAUUUUUCAUUAUAUUAUGUUAAUGGUACUUGUGGGUUUUAUUGUUUGUAUUUUAAGUGUCUUCUUUCAUUAUUUAAUUUGUCCAAGUAAAACAAAUUAGUGAGAUAUUGUGUCAAAUUGCCAUGAAAGAAGUUCACGAACAUAAGAUCCCUCUUACAAUUCUUAGGGAAGGCAGAGAGUAAAGGCGGAGGCGGUGGUCCAGGAUCCAGCAAUGGAGAUUCGUUAAACAGAGCUUUUUUUCUUCUGCUGUUUUCGUACGGCAACAUCACACUUUUAGCAACUACACCGCCAAGCUCCAUACGCAUACUUGUGGUAAUUGAAUUAAAUUAAAAUAAUCCCAUCAACCAAAUUGGAUUCAACACACACAGAGAAAGUCCUGGUUUGUGUUUCCAUCACUUGACACAAGUAAAAACACACACGUUAUGAGUAUAUACAUGGAUUUCGUAAUUUUUAAGAAUCCCUGCGUGAAAUCUUCAAAAAGUCGA